CCUACGGGGGGCAGCAGUGGGGAAUAUUGCACAAUGGGCGAAAGCCUGAUGCAGCAACGCCGCGUGAACGAAGAAGGCUCUUGGGUCGUAAAGUUCUGUUCUGAGGGAAGAAGAAAGUGACGGUACCUCAGGAGAAAGCCCCGGCUAACUACGUGCCAGCAGCCGCGGUAAUACGUAGGUGGCGAGCGUUAUCCGGAAUGAUUGGGCGUAAAGGGUGCGUAGGCGGCCUGCUAAGUCUGGAGUGAAAGGUACCGGCUCAACCGGUACAGGCUCUGGAAACUGGCGGGCUAGAGAGCAGGAGAGGG
rnacentral:rRNA from 1 species